GAGCUCCGGCCGCGACCAAGGGGGAGAUAGAGAGGGACUCUGCUGCCGGCCCGAGUUCCGACUGCGACCAGGGAAAAGAGAGAGAGAAAGAGUGGGGAGGGACCGAGGCGCACGACAGCAUGCCCCCGCGCGCAGCUCUCGCCCGUGCCGGCCGCCGCCGCGCGUCCCGCGGGCUGACCGGUGCGUACCUCGCGUAGGAGUCCCGCCGCUACCUCUUCUCUGCCCCUGCCGCGACACCCUACGCCCGCCGCCACCCACGCCCCCUGCGCCUCCGAUCUUGUCUGGUCUCAAGCAAUCCUUCCAUCGGCGACGCGGGGCGGGAGUACAACGGUGUGUCCCGGGUGAUGGCUUCUGCAGACUUCGAGCAUUGCGACUGUUCUUCUCCACAUCGAGAGCAAGCAGAAGAUGAAAUUCCCAUGUCUCCGCCUCUCACCAAAGAUUAUCCCGAGCAAGCAAAGGGUGAAGCGAACGGAGCCGGAGCCGCGGCAGCUUACCUGCGGGCAGAGUAUGGUCGUCGCUGGAGGUCGCCCCGUCACAUAUACUCUAUUGCUGCAUCAUCCUGUUCAGGGCUCCUCUCCUAAUCCUUUUUUUUGUCAGAUAAACACAACGAAUUCAGCGGAGCUCUCGCAGCUAUGGAUGCCUUUGAUCCAAGAGUGGAUGAAUAUUUGCUGUCUACGCACACAAGGUGUUCGACUAUAUGGGUCAACCGCCAUAAUCACAUCUCAAAUGGUCACCAUCACUCACAGCAAACCUGCAUCACUGCUCUCACCAGAAUAAUUAAGGCAAGUGCCAUUGCUCAAUUUACAUGAAUAACGCUGUUUCAUUUAAAGUAACUACUGAUUUCGUUAGGGACAACUGAACCAUGCAUUUUCCUACUUGAUUAGACCUUUUCCAAAUGAAAUUUCUAAUCCAAUGUAUCCUUGAUUCCGUAAAUUGUGCAAUUCAGUUCAAUAAUAAGUUUUUAAAUUCCUAUAAUCAAUGUGCUAACGGACGACACUGACAUCUAUCACAUCCAAUGUUUAUUGAUAAGUAGUUUCGAUUAGUUACUCUACAGAAAAUAGACAGUGCUUAUAAAUAAGUGUUUUACAUUAUCUGUUGCCGACAUCCACGUUAUGAAGCAAAGGCUCUCAAAUAGUAAAUUAGAAGCCGCUUUGUACAAAGCCUGGUUAAUUUGCAUUUCUAUAUAAGCACUCAUACUGCAUUGAGUAGUUAUGAACUUAGAAGAAUUAUCUGCUGGUAUUAUCCGGAAUUCUUCUAGUAGUACAGUAAUUGGAAUUUCAAAUGUGAGCAAGUUGGUUUGAUGCUUGCUGGUAUGGGAGCUUCGGUAGAUGUUUUCAAAUGGUAAUUAUAUCUUUAUUCAUGUAAAUUUUAUCUGCUUUACCUAAUUUACUCCAUGGCACGCUCAUAAAAUUCCAUUUUCUUCGGUCAUGGAUGCAAAUUAACAUAAUUGCUCUGUAUGGAAAGAUUCAAAGUAAUCUGUUCAUGCCAUACAUUCAAUAUCGAGGUUACCGAAGUGCAAUUGUAUCAGUAGCAUAAUUUCUUCUGGACCUAAACACUGCCUAUCUGUGCUGUUGUUAAAUGUUAACUUAUAUUGAUAUGUUUUCUAUAUGUGGUAGGCAAGGGCUCGUUGGGAAAAGAGGCAAGCAAAAGUCUUGAAAAAAGUCAGAACACAGAUGGUGAACCAAGAGAAUUCAGACACAGGCAGGUCUUGGAGCGAUGUUUGGGGAUCCCCACCACGAGAUCAAAACAAUGAGGAAGAAGCAUCGGAGAGAGCCAAGAGAGCGGCGGCUGCUGCAAGACGGUGGUGACAAUACUCAAGGCAAGGCGCAGACAGGCCUUCGACAUACAAGCUUCCAGAGGCAGUGGGCAACAAAGAUUAGUCCACUGAAUAGAGAAAACUUCUACCAUGGUUUGGCCAAAUCUGGUAAACCUUUACUGUACAGUGUCAUUGUUUGCAGAUGUGAUGCGAAGGUUCGCUUUGCCUUCCCAGUGAAUGAGUAGAGAUGGAAAUGGAUGGCUAAUGUUUUCUUUGUAGUUGGGUUUGAGUCUCUUAACUGACGUUUAUGCCUUUAGAUACUGUUCCUAACAUUGGAUCUGUGAUAGUCUCCGCGGUUUCUGUGAAUUUAUGAUUAUUCUGCAAAAAGAAAAAAAAAGAAAAGAAGUUCUUGAUCUGAUUGAGUCCUGAUUAGUAGAGAAGUGAUGAACUUUAAGCAAAAAUAUAGGCCAAUUUCACCCGUAGUGCUUGAGAAUACGAUUUAACCUGUGCCAUGGCUAGGUGCUCUUGUGGAGCUACCGAAUUUGACAUCCAUGGUAAAACUUGCUUCAUAUACAUUUUCCGACACCAUUCCAUAUAAACUUAGCUAAGCUACAUGUCCAAUCAUGCUUCAGUCUGAUUGUCUGUUAUUCAUUGCUGUUAUGUUCUGAAUGUCUGCUGCGUGGACGCUUCUCUUUCUGUUCUAUCAUCUCCUAUAGGUAUUGCUAUCCACCCAAAAUAGUUUUUUGGGAAGCAUGAGGUGUGCACCAUACCCUGGCUUCAGUCUGAUUGUUUUAAUGUUCUCCUAUCUUCUAACUACUAGGAAUUUAAUGCAUUGAUCCCCCACAUUUGCAUCUAUCACUUGAAGCAUCACUUGCAAGACAAUGGACAUCAAAAUAAUUCUGAGUUUUUACAUGUUUUACUGCUAUUAUUGGAUUCUGUGCACCAGAUUGCCAUAAUUGUCAGUUUCAGCUUUUAAUGUUGCAUGCUUGACUAUACUGAAAUUUCGGUGGAGACUUCAUUUACUGUUCUUUCGUUCAAGUUGGUUAUUCUGAUCCCCUAGCUAUUUGAAAUAAUAUAUGUCUAAAUUAUGGACUCAGUCAUCUUGAUUUCACAAUUUAUUUGAGAGAUGUGCAGUAAGCGUAAGCUAUAUAUAGUAGUAUGCCCACUGUUGUGGACCUUCAAACAUUGUGUAACUGAUUACAUCUACAACAUACUCUGUUCUACCUCCAGCUGUGAUCAUUGCUCUUGUGAUCGACUGCAAUUCGUCUGAUCUCAAGCUAGCAGUGAAACAUGUGAAGCUUCUACCUUCCUGUACAUACAGAUGAUUGCUGAGAAGGAUGAGAGGAGUUGCCUGAGCAGAUUACCCAUUCGAUCAUGAAAGUUCCACUUUGUAAGGUCGAUUUCACAUUUGAAUUUGAUGGGUGAUGGAUACAAGUAGAAUAUGCCAUAAAAAUAGCAAUGAUCAAUCAUAUGUAGAUCAUACUAUUUAUCUUAUUAAUUAUAUUGGACGUAUGUCACCAAGAUAUAUCUUGGACAUAUUUGUCAAGAUACAAGCAUUCAGGAGAUAUUUCUACAAUUGAAAUUAGUUUACAAA